rnacentral:rRNA from 1 species
UACGGAGGGGACUAGCGUUGUUCGGAAUUACUGGGCGUAAAGCGCACGUAGGCGGAUUUGUAAGUCAGGGGUGAAAUCCCGGGGGCUCAACCCCGGAACUGCCUUUGAUACUGCGAAUCUCGAGUCCGGAAGAGGUGAGUGGAAUUCCUAGUGUAGAGGUGAAAUUCGUAGAUAUUAGGAAGAACACCAGUGGCGAAGGCGGCUCACUGGUCCGGUACUGACGCUGAGGUGCGAAAGCGUGGGGAGCAAACAGG